rnacentral:rRNA from 1 species
AACGAACGCUGGCGGCAGGCUUAACACAUGCAAGUCGAACGCCCCGCAAGGGGAGUGGCAGACGGGUGAGUAACGCGUGGGAAUCUACCCAUCCCUACGGAACAACUCCGGGAAACUGGAGCUAAUACCGUAUACGCCCUUAGGGGGAAAGAUUUAUCGGGGAUGGAUGAGCCCGCGUUGGAUUAGCUAGUUGGUGGGGUAAAGGCCUACCAAGGCGACGAUCCAUAGCUGGUCUGAGAGGAUGAUCAGCCACAUUGGGACUGAGACACGGCCCAAACUCCUACGGGAGGCAGCAGUGGGGAAUAUUGGACAAUGGGCGCAAGCCUGAUCCAGCCGUGCCGCGUGAGUGAUGAAGGCCUUAGGGUUGUAAAGCUCUUUCACCGAUGAAGAUAAUGACGGUAGUCGGAGAAGAAGCCCCGGCUAACUUCGUGCCAGCAGCCGCAGUAACAC